UCGUGGGAUGAGAAUACACGUGCAAAGUAGUGAGACUUUUACGGAGCAAUGAAGACACGUCGCAGCGGGCGGGCAAGGAGAGAAAGACUCAAAUCAAAAUCGAAAUCAAAACCAAAGGAGAU